rnacentral:rRNA from 1 species
UGCCUGCCCAGUGACAAUUGUUUAACGGCCGCGGUAUCCUGACCGUGCAAAGGUAGCAUAAUCAUUUGUUCCUUAAAUAGGGACUUGCAUGAAUGGCCACACGAGGGUUUAACUGUCUCUUACUUCCCAUCAGUGAAAUUGACCUUUCCGUGAAGAGGCGGAAAUAAACAAAUUAGACGAGAAGACCCUAUGGAGCUUUAAUUUAUCUAUACCAACAGAAUAAUUUUACAUCCAUCAAGGACUAAUAAUCAUUCUAACUGGUUAGAAAAUUUCGGUUGGGGUGACCUCGGAGUAUAAAUUAACCCCCGAGAAGAAUUACUAAGACUGACAAGUCAAAGUUUUAAACAUUAAUUGAUCCAGUCUAACUGAUCAACGAAACAAGUUACCCUAGGGAUAACAGCGCAAUCCUAUUCUAGAGUCCUUAUCGACAAUAGGGUUUACGACCUCGAUGUUGGAUCAGGACAUCCUAAUGGUGC